GGCCAGACUCCUACGGGAGGCAGCAGUGAGGACUAUUGGUCAAUGGGCGAGAGCCUGAACCAGCCAAGUCGCGUGAGGGAGUACUGCCCUAUGGGUUGUAAACCUCUUUUGUCGGGGAGCAAAAGCCGGACGUGUCCGGCUGUGAGAGUACCCGAAGAAAAAGCAUCGGCUAACUCCGUGCCAGCAGCCGCGGUAAUACGGAGGAUGCGAGCGUUAUCCGGAUUUAUUGGGUUUAAAGGGAGCGUAGAUGGGUUGUUAAGUCAGUUGUGAAAGUUUGCGGCUCAACCGUAAAAUUGCAAUUGAUACUGGCAGUCUUGAGUACAGGUGAGGUAGGCGGAAUUCGUGGUGUAGCGGUGAAAUGCUUAGAUAUCACGAAGAACUCCGAUUGCGAAGGCAGCGCACCGGCGCCCUACUGACGCUCAGGCACGAAAGCGUGGGUAUCGAACAGGAUUAGAUACCCUAGUA
rnacentral:rRNA from 1 species